UUCCUAGAGGGACUGCAUCAAGGUAAAUACUUCCUGGAGGGACGAUGUAUCAAGGUAAAUACUUCCUAGAGGGACUGCAUCAAGGUAAAUACUUCCUGGAGGGACGAUGUAUCAAGGUAAAUACUUCCUAGAGGGACUGCAUCAAGGUAAAUACUUCCUGGAGGGACGAUGUAUCAAGGUAAAUACUUCCUAGAGGGACUGUAUCAAGGUAAAUACUUCCU